AAAUCAACUAAAUGGUCAACAUAUACUAGCAAACCCCUCCCAGAUAGCCCUAAAGACUCCAGCUUCAGAAUAAGAAUUUUGAGUUCUUCACUGAUAGGGUUGCUAAGCAACUUAUCACUGCCUUUUAAACAGAAAAACUUAUGUGGAAGCAAUUGACCUUAUUCUUAAUGCUGAAGUGACUUCACCUCACUUUCAUCUUCCUGAUUACUUCAAGUUUCUGUUAAAAAAAAAAAAGAAAAUGUUUCCAUAAACUAUACACACAAAAAAUGUCACUAAUGAUGACAUUUGGUAGAUAGAUAAUUUAUCCAAUUUCACAAGUUAGUGUCUAUGGCUAUUCUCAAAGGGAAAACCAGGGGGAAAAGACAAGAGUGAUUUCAUUUGGAAAUAAUGUUCCCAUAAUCUAUGUAAAUAUAGGUCUUACAUUCACCAGGAAAUAAUCAGAGGUGGCUUAAACGAGCAAAAUGCCAUCCUGAAGUAGGACAUGGACAUUUCCAUUGAACUUAAAGAGAACAUUUUGAAACAACUUAUAACCAGCUGCCACCAACAGAUGAAUCAACACAAGAACCAUGGGAGUGGCAGCACCUUCUGCUUUCAGACAAGACAUCAUCUGAGGAAGCAACUCCUGUGGAGAAGGAGCCAGCCAUCCCCACCAGUUGUCAACCAACUACCCCACUCAGGGUCAGCAAAUCACUGGACUAGUUAAAGCAGUGAGACCCCUUGAGGGAGAGAUAGGAAGCACCACAUGCAAGAGUCCUCCAGAUCCACUGGCAAGGAAAAGACAAGAUAUCUGGUGAUGUAGAAGAUGACCUUGGCAUAUUCAAUACCUAACCAGUCUCUAAGUGCUCCAUGAAGCCUGCUUCAGCCCCCUUCAUGGUCAUUGGAAUGAACUAUUCUCAUCUGCCCAUUUCACCAUGAAAGUCUUCACAUGUCUUCUACAUAGGUAGAUACCCCCCUAACUUGCUGACAGCUUUGAGGUUUUUAUCCCAUCUGCCAAGACAGUUUUAUGAAGACAUGGGUGUCGUGUGUGCCACAGCUUCUUGGAGCCACACAUGAGAGUUGGGUGGAGACCAAAGGUGGAAUGCAGCUCUAAAAAGGACUUGGCAAACCCUUGCACCAGAGAUGCUGGUCUUCCCUGAAUACUCUGUACACAAAUCUACCCAGAAUAAGUGCUAAAUAAAUGAUAGUGGUCAUGAUCCUGAUUCUUCA
rnacentral:lncRNA from 1 species